UACGUAGGGGGCUAGCGUUGUCCGGAUUUAUUGGGCGUAAAGAGCGUGUAGGCGGCCAAGUAGGUCCGGUGUGAAAACUCGAGGCUUAACCUCGAGAUGUCGGCGGAAACCAUCUGGCUAGAGUCCGGAAGAGGCGAGUGGAACUCCUGGUGUAGCGGUGGAAUGCGCAGAUAUCAGGAAGAACACCGACGGCGAAGGCAGCUCGCUGGGACGGUACUGACGCUGAGGCGCGAAAGCGUGGGGAGCGAACAGG
rnacentral:rRNA from 1 species